rnacentral:rRNA from 1 species
UGGUAGUCCACGCUGUAAACGAUGUCGAUUUGAAGGUUGUUCCCUUGAGGAGUGGCUUUCGGAGCUAACGCGUUAAAUCGACCGCCUGGGGAGUACGGCCGCAAGGUUAAAACUCAAAUGAAUUGACGGGGGCCCGCACAAGCGGUGGAGCAUGUGGUUUAAUUCGAUGCAACGCGAAGAACCUUACCUACUCUUGACAUCCAGAGAAUUUAGCAGAGAUGCUUUAGUGCCUUCGGGAACUCUGAGACAGGUGCUGCAUGGCUGUCGUCAGCUCGUGUUGUGAAAUGUUGGGUUAAGUCCCGCAACGAGCGCAACCCUUAUCCUUUGUUGCCAGCGAUUCGGUCGGGAACUCAAAGGAGACUGCCGGUGAUAAACCGGAGGAAGGUGGGGAUGACGUCAAGUCAUCAUGGCCCUUACGAGUAGGGCUACACACGUGCUACAAUGGCGUAUACAAAGAGAAGCGACCUCGCGAGAGCAAGCGGAACUCAUAAAGUACGUCGUAGUCCGGAUUGGAGUCUGCAACUCGACUCCAUGAAGUCGGAAUCGCUAGUAAUCGUAGAUCAGAAUGCUACGGUGAAUACGUUCCCGGGCCUUGUACACACCGCCCGUCACACCAUGGGAGUGGGUUGCAAAAGAAGUAGGUAGCUUAACCUUCGGGAGGGCGCUUACCACUUUGUGAUUCAUGACUGGGGUGAAGUCGUAACA